rnacentral:rRNA from 1 species
CGGCUCAGUAACACGUGGAUAACCUACCCUUGAGACGGGGAUAAACCCGGGAAACUGGGUAUAAUACCCGAUAGAUCUCGACUGCUGGAAUGCAUCGAGCUUGAAAGCUCCGGCGCUCAAGGAUGGGUCUGCGGCCUAUCAGGUAGUAGUGGGUGUAGCGUACCUACUAGCCUACGACGGGUACGGGUUGUGAGAGCAAGAGCCCGGAGAUGGAUUCUGAGACACGAAUCCAGGCCCUACGGGGUGCAGCAGGCGCGAAAACUUUACAAUGCUGGAAACAGCGAUAAGGGGACCUCGAGUGCCAGGUUACAAAUCUGGCUGUCGUGAUGCCUAAAAAGCAUUGCAUAGCAAGGGCCGGGCAAGACCGGUGCCAGCCGCCGCGGUAACACCGGCGGCUCGAGUGGUAACCGUUAUUAUUGGGUCUAAAGGGUCUGUAGCCGGCCGGAUAAGUCUCUUGGGAAAUCUGGCAGCUUAACUGUCAGGCUUUCAGGAGAUACUGUCUGGCUCGAGGCCGGGAGAGGUGAGAGGUACUUCAGGGGUAGGGGUGAAAUCUUGUAAUCCUUGAAGGAC